UCCUACGGGAGGCAGCAGUGAGGAAUUUUGCGCAAUGGGGGAAACCCUGACGCAGCAACGCCGCGUGAGUGAUGAAGGCCUUCGGGUCGUAAAGCUCUGUCAAGUGGGAAGAACCUGUCCGAUGUUAAUACCAUCGGGCACUGACGGUACCACUGGAGGAAGCACCGGCUAACUCCGUGCCAGCAGCCGCGGUAACACGGAGGGCGCAAGCGUUAUUCGGAAUUAUUGGGCGUAAAGGGCGCGUAGGCGGUCUUAUAAGUCAGGUGUGAAAGCCCGGGGCUCAACCCCGGAAGUGCAUUUGAAACUAUAGGACUUGAGUAUGGGAGAGGGAAGUGGAAUUCCUGGUGUAGCGGUGAAAUGCGUAGAUAUCAGGAGGAACACCGGUGGCGAAGGCGGCUUCCUGGACCAAUACUGACGCUGAGGCGCGAAGGCGUGGGGAGCAAACAGGAUUAGAUACCCUGGUAGUCCACGCAGUAAACGGUGAUCACUAGGUGUAGCGGGUAUUGACCCCUGCUGUGCCGGAGUUAACGCAUUAAGUGAUCCGCCUGGGGAGUACGGCCGCAAGGUUAAAACUCAAAGGAA
rnacentral:rRNA from 1 species